UUGUAUAGUUUUGUAUAACGUUGUAUAGUGUCAUAUAGUGAUGUAUAGCCUUUAUAUGUUGUUAUAUAGUCUUGUAUAACGUUAUAUAGUGUUGUAUAGUGUCGUAUAGCCUUGUAUAUUAUUGUGUAGUGUCGUAAGUGUUGUAUACUCUUGUAUAGUGUCGUAUAGUCUUGUAUAACGCUGUAUAGUGUCGUAUAGUCUUGUAUAGCCUUACAUACAGUAGUGUUGUAUAGUCUUG